rnacentral:rRNA from 1 species
ACAUGCCUACAACAUAAUUUUAAUGCACCAGAUCCCAUUAUAACUCCACAAUUAAGCGCACUCAUGCUAGAGUAGUAAUUGGAUGGGUGACCCCCGAGAAGUUCUAGUGUUUUACAUGCC